UAUUGUGAUUACCUGACGAUAUUUUGUAAUCCGUUUAUCUACGACAGGUUGUCAUAGUUCUUGCGCUGGUCCCAUGUGGAAAUUUAUUUUCAUUCCGGAGUCGUCAUAAUAUGUGAAACAAGGUGUCUUCAAUCUAAGAAUUGUCUGAGCUGAACUCUCGAAUUUCCGAUGCAUCACUGGCUGUUCGUGAAAAAUAUCAAUAUCUUGUGGAAAACAUGAUUAUGGCUCUGCCCUGAAGAAGCAAAUAUACUUUGCGAAACGUUG